UGUUUUUUGUUUUGACAAAAACACGGUUUCAACAAAAGUGUUCAAUAGUCGCAGGUUGUGACGUCAAUCUUGCUGGUAUUUGCAGACUCAUUUCUUGUCAACAAGAGUGCUUUCAUUUGUAUACCCUAACUAAAGAACCUCAUCAUUUUUUAAGAGGACAAAUUCACUUUCGAUUCUUUGCGGAUCUUUAAUAAGUUGAGGAAAUCUUUUAUACAGGCUCCAUAAACUGCGAGAAAGGUUUACUAGGACAACGAGAUGGCACUUGGCAAACUGUCAACCACAUGGGUACGGAUUGACUAACUUUUUACCAACAUCAAGCCUUUGGAAAAAUCCACGUUCCAACUCUAUGUCAGUACCGGAAAUAGCAGCCCUGGAGUCUCGUAGCCUCUAGAACGGCCAGAACAUUCUACGCUUGUGGUUGGUUUUCAUUGAAAGCAGGCGUCUUAUAUAUACUUUACGGUAUAUAGCUAUAUAAUGGUAUACUUCAUCAAUAUCAUCAAUCUAUGAAUUUUAAUUUUUAAGAGUAUAUAAAUUAACAUAAUAUAUAUACAUACAUAUGUAGUUCUCAAUACCUAAGUAUUUGAAUUUUCCAUCUCUCAUCGGUGG